UAUCCACUCAGCUGCGUACACCAACGCACGUCCCCUAGAUGGAGGCGUAGAUCAUUGUGGGAUCAUUGGAUUGGCCCUUUGGGAAUAACUGGACAAACCACUUGAACCCAGCACAUCACCUCUGACCCCUGUGUCAUCUGUGGCUGGUCCUCAAGAGACCAGUGUUGACAUCAACUUCAAAUAUGACACUGAAGAGCAUCAAUGAGGUCCACUUUUCCGACUGCUGGAAUGCAAACUGAUUAAUAUUUAUGUAAAGAAAUAAAAAAUGUUUAAGAUUAAAUGAUAUUAUUAGCACCAUAGCACUUGUCCUAACAAUUCAAUAUAACUGAUUUCAUGGUUGCAUGUAUGUUUGUAACCUUACUUUUUGAAAGAUACUAUUUUCUAAAUAAAUGCAAACAGAUGUUA
rnacentral:lncRNA from 1 species